rnacentral:rRNA from 1 species
UACAGGGGGGCAAGCGUUGUUCGGAAUUACUGGGCGUAAAGGGCCAGUAGGCGGCCAACUAAGUCACACGUGAAAUCCCCAGGCUUAACCUGGGAACUGCGUGUGAUACUGGAUGGCUUGAAUUCGGGAGAGGGAUGCAGAAUUCCAGGUGUAGCGGUGAAAUGCGUAGAUAUCAAGAGGAACACCUGAGGUGAAGACGGGUUGCUGGGCUGACACUGACGCUGAGUGCGCGAAAGCUAGGGUAGCAAACGGG